UACGAAGGGGGCUAGCGUUGUUCGGAAUUACUGGGCGUAAAGCGCACGUAGGCGGGUUGUUAAGUCAGGGGUGAAAUCCCGGAGCUUAACUCCGGAACUGCCUUUGAUACUGGCAAUCUAGAGACUGGAAGAGGUUAGUGGAAUUCCCAGUGUAGAGGUGAAAUUCGUAGAUAUUGGGAAGAACACCAGUGGCGAAGGCGGCUAACUGGUCCAGUACUGACGCUGAGGUGCGAAAGCGUGGGGAGCAAACAGG
rnacentral:rRNA from 1 species